rnacentral:tRNA from 1 species
GGUGGCUCAAUGGUAUAGCGCUUGCCUUGCAUGCAUGAGGCCCUGGGUUCAAUUCCUCAGCACCA